UACCAGCACCCCGAGUGGUCGGGACGUUUUAUUGGGCCUAAAGCAUCCGUAGCCGGUUCUACAAGUCUUCCGUUAAAUCCAGCUGCUUAACAGAUGGGCUGCGGAAGAUACUAUGGAGCUAGGAGGCGGGAGAGGCAAGCGGUACUCGAUGGGUAGGGGUAAAAUCCGUUGAUCCAUUGAAGACCACCAGUGGCGAAGGCGGCUUGCCAGAACGCGCUCGACGGUGAGGGAUGAAAGCUGGGGGAGCAAACCGGAUUAGAUGAACCCUA
rnacentral:rRNA from 1 species